AAGAAAUUAAAAAAAAAUUUUUAUUAAUAAUAAUAUUUUAAAAAUAUUUUUAGACAAAUCACUUAAGAAAAUUCCUUGAAUUCAAAGUGUCCAUGGGUUUUCUUGAUAAUAUUAUUGGAAAAUAUAUUGCCACAGUUGUAGGAUUUUAUGCUGUUAGUAUACCUUUUAUGAAUCGUAAUUCAUCUUUAUCCAAUCUUUCACAAAAUGAACGUUUUCGAGUAAGUACAGUUUUAACAUUUUAAAAUAUAAUACUGAUAUACAACAAUAAAAGAAAUACAAGAGAA